UACAUAGGUGGCAAGCGUUGUUCGGAAUUACUGGGCGUAAAGGGCGCGUAGGCGGCCUUCUAAGUCAGACGUGAAAUCCCCCGGCUUAACCUGGGAACUGCGUCUGAUACUGGGAGGCUUGAGUAUGGGAGAGGGAUGUAGAAUUCCAGGUGUAGCGGUGAAAUGCGUAGAUAUCUGGAGGAAUACCGGUGGCGAAGGCGGCAUCCUGGACCAUAACUGACGCUGAGGCGCGAAAGCUAGGGGAGCAAACGGG
rnacentral:rRNA from 1 species